CCUGCAUCAACGAACAAAGUUUAUUCAGCGAAUAAUCACAGGGUGAAGACAUCAUGCUUAAGAAAUACAUUUUACUCGUGAACUGUUGAUGAUAUCAUAGCAUGGAGGGGAAGAGGAAUCAUCCACGACCGCAUCAGAGUAUUAAAGAACCCGGCCUAUAUGGCAUUCUACCAGCCAAAGUUAAAGGCAUUUCUAAAGAUAUAUGCAAUUAUAAAAGGUCGUACCCAGUGCACAAGGCUCCCGCUUUACGCAGGGUCUGGGAGAGGUGAAUGUCGGCUAGCCUUACCCCCAUUUAUGGAGAGGUGCAAUUAUAAUAUUGUAUAUUGAAAAUAGGCAUGAAAGUUCUCUCUUUCAGUUUCAUGUCAGGUGCUCGAAGCGACUUCCUUUGUUUUACGAAGAAAUAAUAAAACGUAAAAGUACAUACCUUUGUCUUCCUUUUCAGUUCACCCCAUCUGAUUGCCCUGGUGCAGAGCUGUUCUACCCUCUUGUGAAGAGCAUGUGAUUUCCCUGCAAUCACAUUACAAUAUUCAGCAACACUUUGUAAAUUUCGACUAUAGCGGUUCACGCGAAGAGGAACAGAGACAACCAGAACAGCAAGGAAAGUGGAAACAAGUAGGAGUUAACUGUCUAAGCAAUAAGGUAGGUAAAUAACUUUGGUUCACUCAUUCAGUUAAAGCACGGAAAGAUUAAUUUUUUCGGUUUAGCGUUCCAAACAAAAAGCCGUUUAUCUUUCCGGCUUUCUCUUUAGUAGUCAUUCCAAAGUGCUAAUUGAAGACUGGUUAUAAAUUAUGGACAUCGUAAGAGAAUGAAGCUUUACUGACCUGUUCUAGGAUCCCGGCCAGCGAAAACAAUGGGCUCCAUGCCUCCGUCCAGCUCUGGGAGGGCCACCUGCAAGGCCACCUGAAUUGGGUGCAAACCCAAAGUGCUAUUCAACCACUCCUCGGUUGUUUGGAACACUAAAGGCACCGCGACAAUGUAUGGAACGUCGAGCUUCAUCAGAGCUUCAACGGCCCGUGGAUGAUCCUGUCUUGCUGGCCCUCCAACAAGGGCAAAACCAGUAAGCGAAAUUGCAGAAUGGAUAAAUGGUUUCUUAGUAACAGGAUCAAUCAGAAACCUCUCAACCGGCCCUGAAAAGUCAA